GUUUAUAUAAAACCAAUACGUAGUCCUAGAAAGACUUAAACACUUGAAUGAACUUUGAGUGUGACCUAAGAAGAAAUAUAGUGAGAUAUAAGUUAAAAGUUAACACAAUCAAAUUGAACAUUGUGUAUUGAUUAACAAGAAGGGUUAUAAGAUAUAGGGUAAAGUUUACAUUAUAGCUGUUAUGCAUUGCUAUGUGACUAAUAGUUUAUGUGCAUGAUUAUAUAAUUGUGUAG
rnacentral:lncRNA from 1 species